CCCUAGACUAGUGACCUCCUUAAAAUGUCAUCAAUGUGACAGACUCCUGACUCUUUGUAGGUUUUAUCUUCCACUAUCUGGUACAAGUGUGUCUUAUGAAGGCAUCCAGAGUACUUGUCAUUUUCUGCCCGCCAGUUGGAAUUAACAUUAUGACUCAUAUAAGGGACUAAUAUAUCAUACUAUGGGUUGCCAAGGCUGCCGUUUCUGGCCCUGUUACAGGGUGGGUCUAUCGGGGCUAUCAACACAUACGCUGGGAAAACUGGGAGCAAGAGCAGGGAGCAGAUGUGGAGCCAGACACCAGAGCAGCACGGAUAAGCAAAUGACUCAAACUGCAACCAAGUGAGGGGCACAGCCAGGAAGGUGGCCGGAGUCCUGACUCCAGGACAGCAAACACAGUGGCAAUGUUGGAACAAAAUGAUGGGACAGACCACCGAGUGCUCCAGGAUUCAAAUCCUAAAGAAGUCAACAGAUGGAGGAAGGACCAUGAUCUCCUCCUCUGGAUCAUGGCUCCCACACUUCAUUCUCUACUCCAUGCAUCAAGAUAAUAGAGUGGGCUUCCCCACGCCAGCACCCUUUUUCAGGAAAAUUCCAGUCUCCUUUGGAAGAAUGACAAUGCUACAGAAAAGCACAUGGAUUUGCAGCUUCAUGGACAUCCCGUGUGAGGGUGACAGCUCUUUACUCUCAAUGGAGGAAAGUGAAGCCAGGCUUACUGAGAAAAAAAACAACCCUCAGAAAUCAAAAUCAGACAGCUAUGCCCGGUCUGGCUGCCCUGGAGCGGGAAGACCCGAACCUUGGCAGGGCUGCCUGCUGUGCUGACCCGCCUGAUAUCACGAAGAGAAGUGAUUUUCCGAUCCUGCAUCCGGUACAGCUGUGCGGACUCUGCUCUUCCUACCAUUCCACCACGAAAUUAAAAAGCAAUUUUCUUUUGAAGUUCUGGGGUUUUUUUUGUUUUUUGUUUUUUUCAUUUAAGAUUACACUUUGAGGUCAGAGAAUGAGACAUAAGGAAUUCACAAAC
rnacentral:lncRNA from 1 species